GUCAAGAUGGCCGAGUGGUCUAAGGCGCUGCACUCAAGAUCCUUGCGAGGUCUUUCCCAUAAGAGAUGGGACGCAUUGCAGUAUCGAAAGAUUCUUGGGUUCGAAUCCCAAUCUUGACA